GAUCCAAACUGCUCAGUAAAUAAACUCAAUGUUGAGCAUGGAGGAGAAUCCAGGAUUACAGCAGGACUCAAGAAAUGGGUGUGUUUUUCACACUGGAUCCAAACA